AUGAACGCUAGCGGCAGGCCUAAUCCCUGCCAGUCGGACGGGAUUCAGGAGCUUGCUUCUGAUGAGAGUGGCGCACGGGUGCGUAACACGUAUGUAACCUACCUUUAUCAGGGGGAUAGCCUCUCGAAAGAGAGAUUAAGCCCGCAUAAAAUCACAGCACAGCAUUGUGUAAUGAUCAAAUAUUUAUAGGAUAAAGAUGGGCAUGCGGAACAUUAGCUAGAUGGCGGGGUAACGGCCCACCAUGGCGACGAUGUUUAGGGGAUCUGAGAGGAUGGCCCCCCACACUGGUACUGAGACACGGACCAGACUCCUACGGGAGGCAGCAGUAAGGAAUAUUGGUCAAUGGGCGGAAGCCUGAACCAGCCAUGCCGCGUGCAGGAAGACGGCCCUACGGGUUGUAAACUGCUUUUAUACGGGAAUAAACCCAGAUACGUGUAUCUGGCUGAAUGUACUGUAAGAAUAAGGAUCGGCUAACUCCGUG
rnacentral:rRNA from 1 species